UACGUAGGGUGCAAGCGUUGUCCGGAAUUAUUGGGCGUAAAGAGCUCGUAGGCGGUCUGUUGCGUCGGCUGUGAAAACCCGGGGCUCAACCCCGGGCCUGCAGCCCGAUACGGGGCAGACUAGAGUUCGGCAGGGGGAGACUGGAAUUCCUGGUGUAGCGGUGAAAUGCGCAGAUAUCAGGAGGAACACCGGUGGCGAAGGCGGGUCUCUGGGCCGAUACUGACGCUGAGGAGCGAAAGCGUGGGGAGCGAACAGG
rnacentral:rRNA from 1 species